rnacentral:lncRNA from 1 species
CCUGAGGCACGGUGACUCAAGGUCACAUGCUGAAGGCUACAAGGUAAGUUUUUUGUUUUUUGUUUUUUUUUUUUUUUUUGAGACGCGCUGGAGUGCAGUGGUGCGAUCUCGGCUCAUUGCAAGCUCCGCCUCCCGGGUUCACGCCAUUCUCCUGCCUCAGCCUCCCAAGUAGCUGGGACUACAGGCGCCCGCCACCACACCCGGCUAAUUUUUUGUAUUUUUAUUUCGCAGUGUUGACCAGGAUGGUCUCGGUCUCCUGAUCUUGUGAUCCGCCCGUCUCGGCCUCCCAAAGUGCUGGGAUUACAAGUGUGAGCCACCGCACCGGCCUACAAGAAAUGAUUGUCCCUUUUAUGGAUGAGGAGAUGGAGGCCCAGGAAGUAAUCUGCCAACAGCCCUACCAAGCCCAGGAAGCCGGCUGGACCUCCGUGUCUGCAUGUGAGGUCAGAGAUGGUCCCACUGGCUCCGUCCUGCUGGGGCCACUGGGGACAUCUGAUAGGGAGGGAUCCGUCCACAUCUCUGCCCAGAGUGACUUCUGACAUGGUUCAGUCUGCAAAGCUCCAGCAUGGGCAGCCAUAAAGCUGAGAGAGUGCAGAUUCCAGAGGAGAUUGAGCCGUUUAUCGCAGGAAAGCCUCCAUCAUUGUUGUCAACCUAAACCUCUGGCACCGUGCGUGACCCGCAGCUCCAGAUUCUGAUCUGAGCCUCUAGGCUCCGGGAUGGAGAAAGGGGACCCGAUCCUCCCAGGCAGAGGCGAGAGGAGACCAGUGGAAAGGAAGAGAUGUCUGUUUGAACAAAUUGACCAGUAGAGAUGAAUACAAGGAAAAGGUCCAGGCCUCCUCCCCGAAGCUACGCCCUGCAGGGAGCGCUGCUGUUGGCAGGCUGGGGAGCAGCCAUU